AUGCUCACUUCAGCAGUACAUAUACUAACAUUGUAACAAGAUACUAAACAUGGCCCCUGAGGAAAGAUAACAUGCAAAUUUAUGAAGUGUUACAUUAAGAU
rnacentral:snRNA from 1 species